rnacentral:rRNA from 1 species
UACGGAGGGGGCUAGCGUUGUUCGGAAUUACUGGGCGUAAAGCGCACGUAGGCGGCUUUGUAAGUUAGAGGUGAAAGCCCGGGGCUCAACUCCGGAAUUGCCUUUAAGACUGCAUCGCUAGAAUUGUGGAGAGGUGAGUGGAGCUGCGAGUGUAGAGGUGAAAUUCGUAGAUAUUCGCAAGAACACCAGUGGCGAAGGCGGCUCACUGGCCCGGUACUGACGCUGAGGUGCGAAAGCGUGGGGAGCAAACAGG